UGGAGUUGAGCCCUCGCAGGGAGAAGAGGAGAGCAGAGCGCCGCACGUUGCCGGGGGCUGAGCCAGGGCGGCUUUGGGGGGGGGCUGUGCCCACCCGGCGGGGACGCGGCCAAUUCAGGCGGGGCAGCGCCGCAUGACGGGCGGGUGCAGGCCGGGCAGCACGGCCGGGCUCGGCCCACGCCCAGCCCUGGGCUAAACCCCCCGCCCCGCCGGGAGCGGAGCGCCGAGCCCCGCCGAAGCGGCGGUGCCAGCGGGCAGCGGGAUGCCGGAGCGAGGCGGGUCCCGGCUCUAGGUGAGGCUCGCACAUGGAACCGCGUCCCGCACAGCCCGUCCUUGUGCGCGGCGGCACGUUCGCUGCUUCCUCCCACGCCGGAGCGCUGCAGCGAGGCACUAUCCGAGAGAUGGGGACUAGCGAAGGCUUGUGAAUGAAAAGAAAUGCAGCAUAAGUGAAUCAAUGCGGGCUAACCGACUCGAGCCCGUGAAUAAAUUAUUAAUUUCUGCUCGCAGAAGAAUCCCCUCUAUAGAGCGAGCAUAGGAUGACAAGCUCCUCCACGGAGCGAGCGGCGUGGGGAGCAGGAGGGAUUGGUCCAGAUACUUCUUAUCUACAAUGAAUUUUAUCUAAAGAGGAAAAUAAAUGCAGAAGGCUAAAGUGCUAAAAGUCUCAUUGAAGAUGCAAGUGAUCUCUACUGAAAGUUAUUAAUAAAAAAGGAGGGGUGGGGGAGGAGGAAAUCCAUCAGAUUUGCUAUCUACAACAUAUAUCAUAAAAUUCAAUUACUGUAAAAAUAGACAAGCAAGUCCUAACUACACAGCAUACGAUGGUGUUAUUAAUUGCUUUGUGGUGUAUUACACAGUGGUUCUAAACAUCAAGCUUCAAAUCUUCAGAUGUGUUCACCACUGCGCAUUUUUUUGUUUGGGCUAAGAGCUGAAAAUAUGCCCCCACGCUUACACCUCUGAAAUAUUCUUCAAAAAUAGUGACCCUUUAAGUAGAGAAAGCAGAAGAGACAGGAAAAAAAAAAAGAGGAAGUAGCCACCUUAUGCAGUAAGCAAUUUAAUAUGUUCUCUACUGAACAUCCUUCCAGCCUUUAACCUGUAUGCAACUUCUCUCUUAAUUCUUAGUGUGUUUUAUAUACAAAGGGAAACAAAGACAGGAGACAUAGUGGGAUAACAAAGGACAUCUCAGCUUUACAAAGCACUUCAAGAAUGUCAGAUAAAAGGCAAGAUCUGAAUGCUCCAGAUUUAUUUGGAAACAACCCCAUGGUGGAAGCAUUCAUCAAGUAGUGUUUGCAUGCAGUGAGAAUGCAGGUUUACUUGUUUCAAGUGAGCUGUACAUCAGAGAGUGAGAGACUGCUUAUUAGACAUAUUCUGUAGAGACUACAUACAUGUACACAUCCUCUUUGAAUGUUAUGAAGGUCCCGUGUGAUAAGUUUUAAGUCUUUCAUUGGUAUGGGAAUGCCUGCUUAUUGACUAUUUCCAAUCCACUUAUGACAAAGAUUGAGGUCAAAUAACAUUACCCACUGGAUUAAAUGAGCACAAUUCCACAUUAUGUGCAUGAGCUAGUGCCUUGGAAAAAUAAAAAUGGUACAAAAAUUCUAAAUCUUA